rnacentral:rRNA from 1 species
GUACACGCUGUGACUAGCAUAUCAAUAAGCGGAGGAAAAGAAACUAACAAGGAUUCCCCUAGUAACGGCGAGUGAAGCGGGAAGAGCUCAAAUUUGAAAUCUUAAAGGGUUUCCCUUUACGAAUUGUAGUUUAAAGAAGUGUUUUCUGUUGAGGUUUUGGUAAAAGUUCUUUGGAAUAGGACAUCAUAGAGGGUGAGAAUCCCGUAUUUGACCUUUACUUUCAACUUUGUGAUACACUUUAAAGAGUCGGAUUGUUUGGGAAUGCAGUCCAAAAUGGGUGGUAAAUUUCAUCUAAAGCUAAAUAUUGGCGAGAGACCGAUAGCGAACAAGUACCGUGAGGGAAAGAUGAAAAGAACUUUGAAAAGAGAGUUAAACAGUACGUGAAAUUGUCAAAAGGGAAGCGUUUGACACCAGUGUUGUUUUUCUGAAAAUCAAUUAAAGAACUGUUUAUGCUAAGUUGUUUAGACUUUAUCAGCUAACUGUUUAGUUUUGAGCUUUUCUUUAAUGCACUUUUCAGUUAACAAGUCAACAUCAAUUUCUUUUGCUGUAAAAAAGCUUGAGGAAGGUGGCUUGAGAUUCGUCUUAAGUGUUUAUAGCCUCUUGCCUAUGCAGUCGGAGAGAUUGAGGUCUGCAGCGUAGAUCCUUCGGGGCUAAAUGCAUUUGUGCUAAGUUAUAGCAUUUUAUAGACAACUUGUUGACUAUGAUUUGUCUUGUAGCUUACUCGCUUAUGUUAUUUUACCUACGCUUAGGAUGUUGAAGAUGUAGCACAUCAU